rnacentral:rRNA from 1 species
UACGUAGGGUGCGAGCGUUGUCCGGAAUUAUUGGGCGUAAAGGGCUCGUAGGCGGUUUGUCGCGUCGGGAGUGAAAACCUUGGGCUUAACCCAGGGCUUGCUUUCGAUACGGGCAGACUAGAGGUAUGCAGGGGAGAACGGAAUUCCUGGUGUAGCGGUGAAAUGCGCAGAUAUCAGGAGGAACACCGGUGGCGAAGGCGGUUCUCUGGGCAUGAUCUGACGCUGAGGAGCGAAAGUGUGGGGAGCGAACAGG